UCCCCUCUCCAUCUCUGAACUCCAUCUCUGAACUUUCAUCUCCUCUCCAUCUCCGUGUGAAGAACUUCAUCUCUAAAACCAUUGAAAUCAACAUCCAGAUAUAAUCGUUUGCGUCAUCCUUUCCUUUCAGUUUAUAGGGUUCAGAUAUUAUAAUUUCUAUGGUUUUUGUAGUGAAUAAAUUUUUUUCAGUUUAUAUAUUUAAGUUUAAGUUUAUCGAUUUCUAGGGUUCAUUUAAGUUUAUUGAUUUAGGGUUUCGUCUGUUAAUCUACUAUUUUCGAUUUUAGGGAUUUUAGUUUAUCGAUUUAGAGUUUCAUUUGUGAAUCUGUUUUUUUCGAUUUCGGUUUUCCAAUUUCUUCUUCUCUCUUUCGUCUUGUUUGUAUACAAUUCUAGAGCAAUGGGUCCUUGUAAUAUGUUCUUUACAUAUAAUUUCAGAUAUUUAUUGUAUUUCUACUUUAUGUUACAGCUAAAGGUGAGUAUCAUGUUUUGAGAAUGGGAUCAAUAAUGACUUCCAUUAAGUGAGAUUUUCUUCUGUCAUUUUUACUACGUUACAACAUUAAAGACUUUGGAGUGAUCUGUUUUCUGGUUGCUUACACUGAUUUGGUUAUCUUUUACUUACAUAAAUUGAACCCCCUUUUUCAGUAAAAAGGGGGUUCAAUUCAAGAUUAAGUAGUUGAGAGUUCCGUUUCAGGGUUCACGGGGAAGAAUAAAUUGUUCACAGGAAAGUGUUGGAUUUCUCAACUGUAAUUGCUGGCUUUGUCUUAAAAUCUAAGGAUAUACAAUAUAAGUGUUGGAACGAAGGAUUGCAAGAUAUGGGUCAUUCAGCUGCAGUUUGGGAUCAAAGAGCAGCAAUUGAGGUUACAAAAGAUUGGAAUGAGAUCGAUCAAGUCAUGCUUCGAUCGCCUCGAGGAGCUUCGGCUAGGGUGAGAUAGUAUGUUACAAAAAGGAGAGUAUGAUGAAAUUCCUACUAUCCUUAUAUGUUUUCCAGGGUUUACUGUGUGAGGCAUGUAUUCAUGAUGAAGUGUUACUCUCAUCUUUCCUUAAUCGGUUAUUCAACACUCUCAGUUGGUCUAUGACUGAAUACUCAGUUUCCGUCCGUCCGAUGCAAGAAAAAUUUCAGGUGAUUGAGCUGCAACAAAGAAAGUGUGGAAUUAUAUUUGAUAUCUCUUGAAAGGUUGCUGGAAUUUUGUACUCGUCAGAUCCCUGAAGCAUUCCUAUCAGCAUAUGAUAUGAUCUUGGAAGGCUGACUGAGUUGAUUGGUGUCAUCCUGAACCACAUUACUUCUGCUGCUGGUACUGAGUUCUUUGACUUGUAAGCCUGUAGUGAUACUUGUAUACAUUUGUAGCUCGUACUCGAUACUUUUUGUUAACUUCAAUUGAAGAAUAUCUUUUUUUGUAAUAUAACACAGUUUUGUAUACAUUUGUAUCGUUUAUUGUG